rnacentral:rRNA from 1 species
AUUGAACGCUGGCGGCAGGCCUAACACAUGCAAGUCGAACGAGUGGCGGACGGGUGAGUAAUGUCUGGGAAACUGCCUGAUGGAUGGGGAUAACUACUGGAAACGGUAGCUAAUACCGCAUACCAUCAGAUGUGCCCAGAUGGGAUUUGCUAGUUGGUGGGGUAACGGCUAACCAAGGCGACGAUCCCUAGCUGGUCUGAGAGGAUGACCAGCCCCACGGGAACGGAGACACGGUCCAGACUCCUACGGGAGGCAUCAGUGGGGAAUAGUGCGCAAUGGGGGCAAGCCUGAUGCAGCCAUGCCGGGUGUAUGUAGCAGGCCUACGGGUUGUAAAGUACUUUCAGCGGGGAGGCGUUACCCGCAGAAGAAGCACCGGCUAACUCCGUGCCAGCAGCCGCGGUAAUAC